rnacentral:lncRNA from 13 species
AUGAAAGGUUGUCUACAGAUGCACCCUUGGUGGGUUACCAAGGAAGAACCCCCAACUGUGUCUGCAAUGAAAAGAAAAGAAAGGAGAGAAGGAAAGAAAAAAAAAGGAAUGAAGGAGAGGAAGAAAAAGGAAGAAAAAGAGGGAGAGAGAACGGGAAUGUUGCUUUAUUCUAAAACUAUUCUUAGGUAUGCGCAUAACUGCAGAAGGACGAGACUCUGCUAAGGAUGACUCAUGGACCUGAAGACCCCAAGUAUAAGAAGAGGUCAACUAAAAUCACCAAAUCCAUUACUAAGAAAAAAAAGGCACGGAAUAUUUUUAACAGUAGGAAAGAACAAAAGAGAAAGUAAUUAUUAUGGUCCUAUAAUACUUACCUUGGUUGUUAAGCACAAUUUGUUAGCUUCUGUGACAUAGUACACCUUGUUUACUUUACUCCUGUUGGGAAAAUGUUAAUGAGCCUGAGUUGUUGCCAAAGCACACAAUCCUAGUGAUAGUGAAGCAAAUGACUACUUGUUGACAUUAAUGACUGUAAUGAUGGCAUUAUUUGGUUUCAACAAACAUAUGAUUAAAGUUUAUCAUAAAAAUCAUAAUCCAGUUGUUUAUUCAUGUAGAUAAUUGCGGUCAUUUCGUACUGGAGAUACUAUUUUAUUUUAUUUGUGUUUAUUUAUUUUUUGGAGACAGAGUUUCGCUCUUGUUACCCAGGCUGGAGUGCAAUGGUGCGAUCUCGGCUCACCACAACCUCCGCCCCCUGGGUUCAGGAAAUUCUCCUGCCUCAGCCUCCCGAGUAGCUGGGAUUACAGGCAUGCGCCACCAUGCCCAGCUAAUUUUUCGUAUUUUUAGUAGAGACGGGGUUUCACCAUGUUGACCAGGAUGGUCUCGAUCUCUUGACCUUGUGAUCCACCCGCCUCGGCCUCCCAAAGUGCUGGGAUUACAGGCAUGAGCCACCGCUCCUGGCCCAUUAUUUUAUUUUAUAAGUUCUGGGAUACAUAUGCAGGAUGUGCAGAUUUGUUACAUAGGUAAAUGUGUGUCAGCGUGGUUUGUUUCAUCUAUCAACUCCUCACCUAUGUAUUAAGCCAAGCAUGCAUUAGCUAUUUUUCCUGAUGCUCUCCCUCUCCCUGCACUCCCCCAACAGGUCCCAGUGGGUGUUGUUUCCUUCCCUGUGUCCAUGUUUUCUUAUUCUUUAGCUCCCAUUUGUAAGUGAGAACACACUGUGUUUGGUUUUCUGUUCCUGUGUCAGUUUACUGAGGAGAAUGACUUCAAGCUCUACAUCUCUGCAAAAGACAUGAUCUUGUCUCUUUUUAUGGUUUCAUAGUAUUCCAUUAUAUAUAUGUACCACAUUUUCUUUAUCCAGUUUAUUGUGAUGGACAUUUGGCUUGAUUCCUUGUCUUUGCUAUUGUGAAUAGUGCUGCAAUAAACAUAUCUGUGCAUGUAUAUUUAUAAUAAAA